GUGCAGUGAGGGUCAUGGCUAACUGGGCCUGUUGGACCUCUUGUCAUGGAGAAGAGCUUAAGGCCCGGGAGCCCGGGAAGACAAAAGCUUACCAAGCUCAGUACAGAAGGAACAGAGCUCAGAAUACCAUGAGGAGACAGAGCUCAGCAGGUCAUGAGGAGACUCACUGGAUCGACAAACCCUGAGGCCACAAACUGGGAGAAAUGGCGCUCCAGAGCGACUGGGGCUGAGGCCUCAGUCCAAGCAAAGGAGCUUCCCUUUUGCUUUUGCUUCAAAGGUUGUCUCACCCAAUAUGCCUUCCUCUCUUUCUGACCCAAAAAAGCAGGCAAAAAAACCACAUCCACCAGCAAACAAAGCAAGGGUGUGUGUGCACACGUGCAUGCGCAUUGGAACAAAAAAAGGCGGGAAAACAGAACACAGAGGGAAUCUGAGUAAAGGAAAGGAGAUUAAGGGCAACUGAUAUCAGCGGAGCCAAGAAGAGAUUUGGAGAAGGCAAAUAAAGAAAAGAUCGCGAAGAAAAGUGAGUAAACCUGACAGAAAAAACAGAAGUGACCUGCUCAUUGCAGGCAGGAGCGGAAAAGUGAUGGGGAGCCAAUCACGUCCCUGAAGAAUUUUGCUCCUGCCUUGU